GGGAGUGGAUGGGGCCCGGUGGUUCUCGCGGUCUUCAAAACCGUUGCGGCGGCGCCCGCGCGUCGCCGGGAGGGUUCGACUCCCUCGCACUCCCGCCA
rnacentral:tRNA from 1 species